CAUGCUGUCUGUAAGUUCCUUGCUCCUAGGGUGACCCUUCAUUUCCCGGCCGCUCCGCUCAGACUCCUCAAGCUUCCUGCUGCCUCCAAUGCAAUGGUGGAGGAUGAGCUCCACUAAGGAACACAUCCGGCUCACAGAUCUGGCUGGCAUUGCUCUGUCUUGUAACAGCAGGUUUCUCUUUACUGCCUGAUUUUCUGCUACCCCUGUGGAGGGUCAUUUCUGUGUGUGUCUGCUUUCCCGGCUCUAAGCUCCAAGUGCUAUCACCUUCAGUUGACCAGCUGCGUCUUUGUCCCUCCCCACAUCACUUUCUGCAGCCAGGGCAGCACUCCUGGACAGGAAGCCAUGAACUUGCAAUUCCACCAUUUCUUCCAGUUGCUUUUGGGAAACAGGAUGCCUGAGGUCAGAGGUUUUCCCCUUGUGACCAAACCAGCUAAGACUGGUGGGAUCCAAAGUGGCAGCUCACUUUACCUCUAAAGAACAUCUAGGCUGGGCACAGUGGCUCACGCCUGUAAUCCCAGCACUUUGGGAGGCCAAGGCGGGCAGAUCAUGAGGUCAGGAGAUCGAGACCAUCUUGGCUAACAUGGUGAAACCUUGUUUCUACUAAAAGUACAAAAAA
rnacentral:lncRNA from 1 species